GACGAACGCUGGCGGCGUGCUUAACACAUGCAAGUCGAACGGAAAGGCCCUGCUUUUGUGGGGUGCUCGAGUGGCGAACGGGUGAGUAGCACGUGAGUAACCUGCCCUUGACUUUGGGAUAAUUUCAGGAAACUGGGGCUAAUACCGGAUAGGAGCUCCUGCUGCAUGGUGGGGGUUGGAAAGUUUCGGCGGUUGGGGAUGGACUCGCGGCUUAUCAGCUUGUUGGUGGGGUAGUGGCUUACCAAGGCUUUGACGGGUAGCCGGCCUGAGAGGGUGACCGGCCACAUUGGGACUGAGAUACGGCCCAGACUCCUACGGGAGGCAGCAGUGGGGAAUAUUGCACAAUGGGCGGAAGCCUGAUGCAGCAACGCCGCGUGCGGGAUGACGGCCUUCGGGUUGUAAACCGCUUUCGCCUGUGACGAAGCGUGAGUGACGGUAAUGGGUAAAGAAGCACCGGCUAACUACGUG
rnacentral:rRNA from 1 species